AGAACAGGAUUUCUGAGCAUGCAGUCAUAACUCUAGGUCAUUCAUUAAUUUCAGGCCCUGCUAGCAGAUACCAAGGAUGACAGUGAAAACAGUCACACGGAAGAAGGAGGGAGGGAGGACCGUGCACUACAAAGAACUCUUUUACACCGAGUUGAGAAAUCAUCGGGUUGUUAGAAUUGGACAGAACAUUUAACUCCCAUUCCUUUAUCAUCUAAAAUCUGAUAUCAUGUCAUUUGGUUCACUUCCUACAAAUAAUUACCUUUUGGCUACAUCAAGGUUAUAAUGAUAAGUUAUCAUUUCGGAGCCCAGACUACAGCCCUCGAACCAAGCUAAGUGACUUAAGUGUGCCAUCUCAUUUAACCCCCACAAAGAUUAUACUUGGCCAGGCUGAUAUCACUUAUUUCAUUUCACAGAUGAGGAUAUUGAUCUCAUGGUCACAAAGCUAGUAAACGGCCGAGAAUCACGCCUCGGUCUGUCCAGCUUCAAAACCUGGAUCCAUCACCAUGACACGCUGCUGAAUGAGGCCCGGGUUCGAGAGUAUCACACUUUAAAAAUAUCAUGAUGCAGAUGAGGAUGUGGUACAGUGAUGACUACCAUGUACACAGUACAUUCUAGACACACACUGUCCCCAAGUGCUUCUCUGCAUCUUCACUUAGUCCCCACUGCAACCCCAUGAGGCCAGCACUGUGACUGGAGGAUGCUGAGAGCAGUGAGGUGAAAUAAGCUGCCCGGCGUCACACAGCUGGGAACUGGCAGAAUUGGGAUUCCAGCUCAGGGAAGCGCCCAUGCUCUUAACUCUUAGGCUACACUGCCUGGCUCUUGGGUGGGGGAUCACUGCAGACAGAGUUAAGCUUUGGUGUGUGGGGGGCGGGGGAGGCAGGGGGAGGGGCAGGUGCUUCAAAGAUGGAAGGGAACACAGAGAAGGGACUUUGCCAACUAAUAUUAGCACAAGUCACAUACUGAGACGAAGGUUUUAAAGAGGAUUUUUUUCCCCCGCUAUUUGAGUUCAUGAGAAGAGUUUGUUACCUAUUGAACAAAUAGUCUUCACUAAUAAAGAACAAUGUGACAAGAAGUCAGCACUGUUCUUAGAUAACUGGGGACACAGGGAGGGCACUCCAGUGUUCCCAUGGAAGGAAUGAAUUCGGGCACAGUCCGUCCCGUGCAACUCCCCUAGGGAGAGAAGGGGCAACUGGAUUCCUCUCGACAAACUAGAAACUUUGUGACAAUGACAAGCUGUUCCCACCCCGGCCCUCCCCUAGGAUGCUGGAGAGCCCAGAGAGGGAAGAGAAGAAACCCAGCGUUGGUGCGGUGCCCACCGCGGACUCGACUUCAUUCCACCUUCACGCUGAGAGGCCAAGAUACCUAGAGAGAGUUCGCGGGGCCGGAGGCUCCCUGCUGUCUCCUGCAAGUGCGUGGGGGUGGGGUCUGAUUUCCACCCGUGUUGGACGUCAGCGGCCUCCGACGCUUUUUGGAAGCAGACUUUUCAGGAACACCUGCUGUGUGGCCGGCACUGUAGUAGGUGCCAGGGAUACAAAGAAGAAACUUUCAGGGCUCUUAGGAAGACAGGAAAACAAGUCAAUCAGCAAUGGUCCUAGCGUGACUUUUCAGGAACACCUGCUGUAAGCCUGGCACUGUGGUAGGUGCCAGGGAUAUAAAGAAGAAAAUUUCAGGGGUUUUAGGAAGACAGCCAAACAAGUCAAUCAGCCAUGACCCUAUCAUGAUGAGGAAACUGAGGUUCUGAAUGAUUAGAUGACUCACCCGAUAUCACACAGCUGGUAAGCACGUGAACCAGGAUGAGAAACCCAGGCUAUCUAUGCCAGUGCCCAGUUAACCAGUUCACCAGAACACCAGAAGCCGCCCCCAGGGCUGCAAGCUGACCAUGCCUGGGACACAGGAGGUUGCAGUGGUGAAGAUCAACAGGCGGGGCGAGGAGCAUCUCCGUCUCCCUCUGAAGACCAUUUGGAAGAGGGUGUGAGAGCUGCCGCCAGGCUUUCCCAGAGAACAGCUGGGCCUGGAAGGGGCGGUCCAGGUCCCAUAAUAACUGCUACCUGCUGCUGCAGCAAUUUUCCCUGCUGGGUGUUUCCAAGUCCGAGUCUCCUGGGGGAGGAGGCUGGGAGGAGGAGGAGGAGGAGGGCUGAUUCUCUAAACUCCCCCUGCUUCUCACCAAAGGUCUGUCCUUGGCCCAGCUUCCCUUCCGAAGGUUGAGUAAUCUCAAAAAAUUGCAGCCUGGCAUGAAAGAGCAGGCCUGCAGGCCAAGCCAGAUCACGUCCGCACGCGGGAUGCUUGGCCCACAUGCUCCUGUACACUUGUAACUGUUAAACCAGAGGACAAGAAGCAACAGAUGUCCUCAGAUCACCAAACCAGCAAAUGCGCAGAGCCAUGGUGGGCGUCUGGCCCCAGUGCUUGGGUGGCCCCUAACAUCAGAUUAAGGAAAAAAGACCUCUCCUCAGCUGGAACGUCCCACUUCCUCCUCCCUCCUCCUCACCAGUAUUUUUCUCUCUGCUUUGCCUGGAUUGGAGUCCUGACCUGGCUACUCCCAGCUGUGUGAACUGGGCCAGCAACUUAGCUCCGUUGUGCCUCAGUUUCUCCAUCUCUAAAUGAAGCGCUUAUUCCUCUCUCAUGGAGCCGUCGUGAGAAUUACGUGAAUGAAUACAGGCUGACUACUUUGAACAGUGCCUGGUACGUAAAGCCCUGUACACUGUAGCUUUUGCUGAUGGUGGUAGACACUCUGCUAUUUAGAGAGGUGUUCUUUCUCUCGAGGCUUUGAUUCCUGCUAAAACAGAAAUCAUUUGGAAAUGGACACUUUUUCUGCCAUUUAGAGAGGUAUUCUUUGUCUUGAGCCUUUGAUUCCUGUUAAAAUAGAAAUGAUUCAAAAAUGAA
rnacentral:lncRNA from 1 species